rfam:Sarcophilus harrisii ctg7180002490036, whole genome shotgun sequence.
AUACUUACCUGGCAGGGGUGAUUCCAUGAUCACGAAGGUGGUUUCCCCAGGGCAAGGCUUAUCCAUUGCACUCCGGAUGGGCUGACCCCUGCGAUUUCCCCAAAUGCGGGAAACUCGACUGCAUAAUUUGUGGUAGUGGGGGAAAAAAAAGUCCUAUU